ensembl:snoRNA LOC120103315 small nucleolar RNA SNORA17
CCUGCACCCGGAGAAGAUGUGGGUGUGGCUGCCAUGUCAUGUGUGCGUCACUAGGUGGCAGAGCAGAGACCAUGUAUACACUCAGUAUUCUGACCUGGGAACAUCUGAAUGUUAGUAGCCUAACAUA